CUGGUUGAUCCUGUCAGUUGUCAUAUGCUUGUCUCAAAGCUUAAACCAUGCAAGUGUAAGUUCAUGCCGUAAACGAAUGGUGAAAUAGCUCAGGAACAGGAUAGCUCUGGAUCGUAUUCCUCAUCACGAGGAGAGUGGAUAACUGUGGCAAUUCUAGAGCUAAUAAUACAAUCGAAGCCGCGAUCGCAGGUCGCACCCGGGCGUCGUUCCGAAAGACGGCGUUCGGCAGUCACCGUUCGGCAGCCCACUGUCGACGGCCCGGUAAGUGCCGACCAUGGUAGCAACGGGUAAUGGGAAAUCAGGAUUCAAUUCAAAGACGGAGCAUGCGAAACGGCUACCAGGCGUGCAAAUUACCCACUCCCGGCACGGGGAGUUAGUGACGAAAAAUAACGACGCGGGACUCGUGAUCGGAAUGAAUGCACUUCAAAUCCGUUAAUGAGGAUAGACCGGAGGGCAGGUCUGGUGCUAGCAGCCGCGGUAAUUUCAGCUCCGGUAGCGUAUAUUAAAAUUGUUGUGUUUGAAAAGCUCAUAGUCGGCAUUCGGGUUCUGAAAACGUGCCCCAGCACGUUCGGGGCGACGGUGCCGUCGCCGACGCGCCUCGCACACGUCAGCUUCAGUCGUCUGUUAGCACUCCUGGCCCUAUUCGCCGGUGCAUGCGCAGCCGGGCCGCCGAGAUCUGAGCGCAUCACUGCCGGGUCGGCUGCCCUGCCCUGUCUUCGCCCGUCCAAUUUCACGCUCACGCGGCGACGCUCCAGUGGCGACGCUCCAGCAGCGACGCUCCAGCGGUGACGCUCCAGCGGCGAAGCUCCAGCGGCGUCGCGUGGGUUGGGGCUGGAGCCACGAGGCAGCCGUCGUCGGGCUCUCCAUCCACGUUGCGGUCGUUUCGGCCGCAUUGUUCUUCGGAGUUUGCUCUUCGCUGAGUGUUUGAGUACGUUCACCGUGAAAAAAUUAGAGUGCUCAGAGCGAGCCAUGCUGGCUUGCAUACAAAAAGCAUGGAAUGAUGGAAAAUGGCCUCGUCCACGUGCCAUUUGUCGGUCUCCGUUCACGAAAAGGCAAUGAUCGAAGGGAGCGAUCGGGGACACUCAUAUUGCGACCUUAGCGGUGAAAUUCUUGGAUCGUCGCAAGAUGCAUUGCAGCGACGACGUGUGGCAAGCACGUUUUCCUUGUUCAAGAGCGAGUGUCGGAGGUUCGAAAGCGGUCAGAUACCGUCGUAGUUCCGACUGUAAACGAUGCCGACGUCGGCGUUCGGUUCGAUCACACGGCUGGUAGCCUGCGCGGGAAGCCAUUGUCGGUUCUG
rnacentral:ncRNA from 1 species